CACGUAGUUAGCCGUCCCUUUCUGGUAAGCUACCGUCACAGUGUGAACUUUCCACUCUCACACCCGUUCUUGACUUACAACAGAGCUUUACGAUCCGAAAACCUUCUUCACUCACGCGGCGUUGCUCGGUCAGGGUUGCCCCCAUUGCCGAAGAUUCCCUACUGCUGCCUCCCGUAGGAGUCUGGGCCGUGUCUCAGUCCCAGUGUGGCCGAUCACCCUCUCAGGUCGGCUAUGUAUCGUCGCCUAGGUGAGCCAUUACCUCACCUACUAGCUAAUACAACGCAGGUCCAUCUUGUAGUGGAGCAAUUGCCCCUUUCAAAUAAAUGACAUGUGUCAUCCAUUGUUAUGCGGUAUUAGCUAUCGUUUCCAAUAGUUAUCCCCCGCUACAAGGCAGGUUACCUACGCGUUACUCACCCGUUCGCAACUCAUCCAAGAAGAGCAAGCUCCUCUCUUCAGCGUUCUACUUGCAUGUAUUAGGCACGCCGCCAGCGUUCGU
rnacentral:rRNA from 1 species